rnacentral:misc_RNA from 1 species
GAUGAAGAACGUAGCGAAAUGCGAUACUUGGUGUGAAUUGCAGAAUCCCGUGAACCAUCGAGUCUUUGAACGCAAGUUGCGCCCGAAGCCAUCAGGUUGAGGGCACGUCUGCCUGGGCGUCACAUAUCGUUGCCCAAUGCCUAUUGCAGUGCAAUAGGAAUUUCUAGGGCGAAUGAUGGCUUCCCGUGAGCGUUGUUGCCUCGCGGUUGGUUGAAAAUCGAGUCCUUGGUAGGGUGUGCCAUGGUAGAUGGUGGUCGAGUUAGAACGAUACCGAUCAUGUGCAUGCUCCCCAAAAUAUGGCCUCUAUGACCCACACGCGUCUUUUGACGCUCAUGACGAGACCUCAGGUCAGGCGGGGCUACCCGCUGAAUUUAAGCAUAUCAUAAGCGGAGA